GCAAACUUGGUCAUUUAGAGGAAGUAAAAGUCGUAACAAGGUUUCCGUAGGUGAACCUGCGGAAGGAUCAUUAGAAAAAAGAUCGACCCGAAAUAUGGACGAUCAAAUCUCCAUAUCCACACCUUGUGUGCACUCAUUGACCGUUCACUUUGGCAGGAGGAGUCUUCAUCCUUCGAUCUGUUCCCCUCCCUCCCCACCUCCGGGGCCCCGGGGGAGAAGAGGAUAAAAUAGGAUCGAAACGAAGCGAGGUUAUCUCUCUCUCAAGAGAGAGACACCUUGGCCUGCCAGAGUUUUUUCCUUCAAAAAAACUUUUUGAACUUUUGGACUGAACCCCUAAAUCGUCUCGAAUUUCCCUCUGGGGAAAAUCGGUCGAAAAAUAAUAAUCACAAAUACAACUUUCAACAACGGAUCUCUUGGCUCUCGCAUCGAUGAAGAACGCAGC
rnacentral:misc_RNA from 1 species